rnacentral:rRNA from 1 species
UUAGAGUUUGAUCCUGGCUCAGGACGAACGCUGGCGGCGCGCCUAACACAUGCAAGUCGAACGGAGCUGAGAAGAGCUUGCUUUUCUUAGCUUAGUGGCGAACGGGUGAGUAACGCGUGAGUAACCUGCCCUGGAGUGGGGGACAACAGUUGGAAACGACUGCUAAUACCGCAUAAGCCCACGGAUCCGCAUGGAUCUGCGGGAAAAGGAUUUAUUCGCUUCAGGAUGGACUCGCGUCCAAUUAGCUAGUUGGUGAGGUAACGGCCCACCAAGGCGACGAUUGGUAGCCGGACUGAGAGGUUGAACGGCCACAUUGGGACUGAGACACGGCCCAGACUCCUACGGGAGGCAGCAGUGGGGGAUAUUGCACAAUGGGGGAAACCCUGAUGCAGCGACGCCGCGUGGAGGAAGAAGGUUUUCGGAUUGUAAACUCCUGUCGUUAGGGACGAUAAUGACGGUACCUAACAAGAAAGCACCGGCUAACUACGUGCCAGCAGCCGCGGUAAAACGUAGGGCGCAAGCGUUGUCCGGAAUUACUGGGUGUAAAGGGAGCGCAGGCGGACCGGCAAGUUGGAAGUGAAAACUAUGGGCUCAACCCAUAAAUUGCUUUCAAAACUGCUGGCCUUGAGUAGUGCAGAGGUAGGUGGAAUUCCCGGUGUAGCGGUGGAAUGCGUAGAUAUCGGGAGGAACACCAGUGGCGAAGGCGACCUACUGGGCACCAACUGACGCUGAGGCUCGAAAGCAUGGGUAGCAAACAGGAUUAGAUACCCUGGUAGUCCAUGCCGUAAACGAUGAUUACUAGGUGUUGGAGGAUUGACCCCUUCAGUGCCGCAGUUAACACAAUAAGUAAUCCACCUGGGGAGUACGACCGCAAGGUUGAAACUCAAAGGAAUUGAC